rnacentral:rRNA from 1 species
UGCACGUCGAACGGUGAACACGGAGCUUGCUCUGUGGGAUCAGUGGCGAACGGGUGAGUAACACGUGAGCAACCUGCCCCUGACUCUGGGAUAAGCGCUGGAAACGGCGUCUAAUACUGGAUAUGUGACGUGACCGCAUGGUCUGCGUCUGGAAAGAAUUUCGGUUGGGGAUGGGCUCGCGGCCUAUCAGCUUGUUGGUGAGGUAAUGGCUCACCAAGGCGUCGACGGGUAGCCGGCCUGAGAGGGUGACCGGCCACACUGGGACUGAGACACGGCCCAGACUCCUACGGGAGGCAGCAGUGGGGAAUAUUGCACAAUGGGCGCAAGCCUGAUGCAGCAACGCCGCGUGAGGGACGACGGCCUUCGGGUUGUAAACCUCUUUUAGCAGGGAAGAAGCGAAAGUGACGGUACCUGCAGAAAAAGCGCCGGCUAACUACGUGCCAGCAGCCGCGGUAAUACGUAGGGCGCAAGCGUUAUCCGGAAUUAUUGGGCGUAAAGAGCUCGUAGGCGGUUUGUCGCGUCUGCUGUGAAAUCCGGAGGCUCAACCUCCGGCCUGCAGUGGGUACGGGCAGACUAGAGUGCGGUAGGGGAGAUUGGAAUUCCUGGUGUAGCGGUGGAAUGCGCAGAUAUCAGGAGGAACACCGAUGGCGAAGGCAGAUCUCUGGGCCGUAACUGACGCUGAGGAGCG